rnacentral:sRNA from 1 species
UCAGGUCGGGAGGGGGCAGAGAGACCAGGGGUAGAGAUGGGGAACAGCGGGGACUAGGCUGGAGACAGAUGUAGGAGAACAGCAGGGCUGGGGGACUGGGUGGAUAGGGAUAACCAAGAUAGCUGUGGGGCCGAAGGUGCUUGCAUGUACCCUGUUGGGGAAGGGGUAGUGCUGUACCCUCUCGACAGACCUCUCUGGGGUGCACAGCCUGGGGCACCCAAAAGGAGGUGGGGAAAGAUGGGCUGAGGCAUGGGAAGCAGGUCCUCAUUAGCCCAAUGGCCAGGCUGCGGCAUUCCUGCCAUCAAACCGGCACUGAGCUUCAGCCAGAGGAUUGUCAACGGGGAGAAUGCAGUGUCGGGCUCCUGGCCCUGGCAGGUGUCCCUGCAGGUACACCACCGGAGGGGUGGGCAGGGUCCUGGGUACGUCAUGCCUAGGGGCAGCCUCAGCAGCCCACCCCCACUCUGACCUCUGAGCCCUGACCACAGGACAGCAGCGGCUUCCACUUCUGCGGUGGUUCUCUCAUCAGCCAGUCCUGGGUGGUCACUGCUGCCCACUGCAAUGUCAGCCCUGGCCGCCAUUUUGUUGUCCUGGGCGAGUAUGACCGAUCAUCAAACGCAGAGCCCUUGCAGGUUCUGUCCAUCUCUCGGGCCAUUACACACCCUAGCUGGAACUCUACCACCAUGAACAAUGACGUGACGCUGCUGAAGGUCGCCUCGCCAGCCCAGUACACAACACGCAUCUCGCCAGUUUGCCUGGCAUCCUCAAACGAGGCUCUGACUGAAGGCCUCACGUGUGUCACCACCGGCUGGGGUCGCCUCAGUGGCGUGGGCAAUGUGACACCAGCACGUCUGCAGCAGGUGGCUUUGCCCCUGGUCACUGUGAAUCAGUGCCGGCAGUACUGGGGCUCAAGUAUCACUGACUCCAUGAUCUGUGCAGGUGGCGCAGGUGCCUCCUCGUGCCAGGGUGACUCCGGAGGCCCUCUUGUCUGCCAGAAGGGAAACACAUGGGUGCUUAUUGGUAUUGUCUCCUGGGGCACCAAAAACUGCAAUGUGCGCGCACCUGCUGUCUAUACUCGAGUUAGCAAGUUCAGCACCUGGAUCAACCAGGUCAUAGCCUACAACUGAGCUCACCACAGGCCCCUCCCCAGCUCAACCCAUUAAA